rnacentral:rRNA from 1 species
GACGAACGCUGGCGGCGUGCUUAACACAUGCAAGUCGAACGGAAAGGCCCUGCUGUUGUGGGGUGCUCGAGUGGCGAACGGGUGAGUAACACGUGAGUAACCUGCCCUUGACUUUGGGAUAACUUCAGGAAACUGGGGCUAAUACCGGAUAGGAGCUCCUGCUGCAGGGUGGGGGGUGGAAAGUUUCGGCGGUUGGGGAUGGACUCGCGGCUUAUCAGCGUGUUGGUGGGGUGGUGGCUGACCAAGGCCUUGACGGGUAGCCGGCCUGGGAGGGUGACCGGCCACAUUGGGACUGGGGUACGGCCAAGACUCCUACGGGAGGCAGCAGUGGGGAAUAUUGCACAAUGGGCGGAAGCCUGAUGCAGCACCGCCGCGUGCGGGAUGACGGCCUUCGGGUUGUAAACCGCUUUCGCCUGUGACGAAGCGUGAGUGACGGUAAUGGGUAAAGAAGCACCGGCUAACUACGUG